GGUGUCGCAGGCGCUCGCCCACGCGGUGCGCACCGGGGCGCCAGGUACAGCGUGGAAAGCCGGGCGAGCGUCUCAGCCCUCGCUAGCUGGACCUGGACCCCAGACCAGUGGGCAACGCUGCCAAAACCCGCAAAGUCGAGCGAGGGACAACGGAACACCGGAUUCAAGCGCGGCUCUACCUAAAAGUCCUGGAAGCUGGAGAAGGGGCGGCGAGCGCGCGUCAGUGCAAGCCUGGCUCUGCUCCCGACCGUCACUGCGACCGCGGGCGCAGGAAGGAUGUGAGUGGAGGCCGGGGCGAAGCCCGGUUCCCAGGCCUUCUGUGGCCCUCACUCAGAGCCCACGAUUCAGAGGGAAGGGUAACUCUCUGCCUUGCCACCCGUCCUGCGUUCCCGCCUCCACGGCUCCCAAGCUCACAAAACCGAGGACAGCUGACAUCCUGGAGAUGAGCGUAAAAGACAUCUGCAGCGCCUACACGGCCCGGUGACAGCUGGGGUCACUGCGUGGAGGUGAGCUGUGUGCGGGACAGGGACAGAUUCCCGCGCUUGCAGCUCCCUAACCCUAAUCCUAACCCUGAGAGCUCAGCAAGAUGGCUUUGCCGAGCCUGAGACCCUGGGCAAGUUCUGGGCUCUUUCAGAAAGUGUCUCACCGAGACGAUCUGCUUCCUGGCAGGAUGUGAGGGGGUCGCCUGCCUGUCCCAGCUGGAACCAGGAGCCGGCCCGCCUCCCGCCUUCGUGGUGCAUUUGCAGAAGUUUGACUCCAGUACCUCCUCCCACUCGAGAACCGGGUCUCUGGGCCCGAGCUGAACCUGGAGGUUGUGGCCGCGGUGAAGUGUGGCUUGUCUUACGACUGCAGGCUUGCACCAGAGAAUGCGUAUUUACAGUCGCACGGCGCAUUUGUUUGGUUUUAAACCAUAUGGUUCAGUAGCACCGCUUCCUAGCUCUGGCAUCCCUGACCCAGAUCGUUUCCCAAGCCCUUCUUCUAGUCGGGGAUAUACGGAUGGGGAUGUGUCCCCUCACACUCCAGGGUUGGCUUUGCUUUGCUUAGUGUUGGAGUCUGCAACUACCCUGGGAUAUAAUAUGGACCCCAAUAGGGGGCAACCAAGAAGGUGACAGUCACCAAGCUGUCUCGGUGCAGUAAGGUGAUUGGGGAGAAGUAUGGGAAGGGGGGGGUUCCUGAUUUAAAAAAAUAACUGUGUGUGUGUGUGUGUGUGUGUGUGUGUGUGUGAUUGUGAUGUAUGCAUGUGCUACUAUGUAUCCAUGGGCAAACAGCAAGACUUCUGCCAGGAGUGGGGUGGGGUUGUAACCAUGGUGGGACGGGGUUGUGGUGGUGAGGGUGAUCCAUGCCUUUAAUCCCAGUGCUCUCAGGAGGGAGAGGCAGGCAAAUCUCUGAGUUUGGGGACAGCUUGGUCUACAGAUCAAGUUCCAGGACAACUAGCGCCACACAGGAAACCCUGUCUCAAAAACCAAACCAAAACAACCAAAGAAAUCUCUCAUUGAGCUGAAAGGUGAGCUCUCAGAAUUUGUCAAUGUCUGUCCCCUAUUCCUUGUGCUGGAGUUCCAGGCAGGACAGUCAUGUCUAGCUUUUUACAUGGGUUUAAACCCAGUCCUCCAUGCUUGUAGAACAAGUGCUCUUACCCCCUGAGCCAUCUCCUUAGCCCUGGUACUACUGGGCAUGGUGGCACAUGCCUGUAAUCUGUGCUUGGAAAGUAGAAGCAGGUGAAUCACUGUGAGUUUGAGGUCAGCCUAGUCUAUAUAGUGAGUUUCAGAUCAGUGAGUUCCAGGCCAGCCAGGGAUGCACAGGGAAACCCUGUCUUUAAAAGAAAUAAUAAUAAAUUUCAUACUCUUCUCC
rnacentral:lncRNA from 1 species